GGGAAGAGCCAGCGCUGAAUCUUGUGCCCCCGGACGUAAAGACAUGUGGCGUUGGGAUAAGACAUUGCCUGCAAGUAAUGAUCAUCCAAGUCCCUCUUGAACGGGGCCAUAGCCCAUGGAGGGUGCUAGGCCCGUACGAUGAUUUUUUGCGUCUCGUCCGUAGAGUCGGGUGCUUGGGAGUGCAGCCCAAAUCAGGUGGUAACUCCAUCUAAGGCUAAAUAUGACCACGAGACCGAUAGCGAACAAGUACCGUGAGGGAAAGUGAAAAGAACUGAAGAGAGAGUUCAAUAGUACGUGAAACCUCUCGGGGGUAAGCGGGCAGAACUUGCAAGUAUUGAGAUUCAGACUUGGUUUGGGAGCUGGGUGAAAUGGGUCAUUGUGUGUGCUUUUGAUAAUGCGUCGCACUUCUCUUGUACGGGUUGCAUGCAACUGAUAGGAGCUGAGGUACUGCAAAGCCUUGUUUGAGUCUUUUUCCGACUAUUCUUGCGGUGAACAAGAGCUCUCGGUCAACUAUUUCCACGAGUCGUGUGCAUGGGUGGUAUGGACGGGUAACCGUAUGGUUGUCAGUUGGCAUUGUUCAUUGCAAUCUAAAGCAUGCGUGGUCUGCCUGUCCCGUCUUGAAACACGGACCAAGGAGUCUAACAUGUGUGCAAGUCAUUGAGAACUCGCGUAAUGAAAGUGAGAUGAGGAGAGAUCUGCGCAUCUC
rnacentral:rRNA from 1 species